CAGGGAAUAGUUUAAGAAGAAUCUCAGCUUUGGGUGCUGAUGGUGGAGCGAGAGCUUCUUCCUUGA
rnacentral:tRNA from 1 species